rnacentral:tRNA from 1 species
GCGGGUAUAGUUUAAUGGUAGAACGCUAUCCUUCCAAGUUAGAAGUGUGAGUUCAAUUCUCACUAUUCGCUCCA